GUCAUUUUCUCUCUUCAGUGCAUCAAUGACGCCCAGCAGCAGCCAUCCAAUUCCACAGAACUUCAAUGAAUACUUCAUAUUGUGCUUCCAAUGCUAGCAGCAUUACACCAGCAGCUGCAUUCCCUUCCACCUGCAAAACAUUCCAACUCACCAUGCAUGGAAGUUUGCAGUCAUAUGCCAGGGAUUGUUGGUACUCCACUGAGGUCCUCAUGGCCAGCUGUCUAGCAGAUGAUCCAACUCCAGAAGUCCAUCAUGCCUCCUGAAAUUCCUCUGGGUAUCAAUUAUCUUAGGUCAGACUCCCUAGAAACAGAACCUGAGUCAGUGAUUCACUGUUGCCAUACUCUUCAGGAAAAAAACUUUCAAUAGUAAGGGAAGCAGAUCAGGGAAGAGGAAAGAAAGAACAAGAAUUUGCUGAAGUCUAGAUUGAGCUUGGACCUUUUAUUUGGGAAAACUUACCUGACCUCUCUUUGUCUUGUUAGCUCUUGGGAGUCAUCAGUCUUCUCUUUCAGAAGGAGGAUUCACUGACCUCCGCCGCCUUGGUUACCUUUUCCUUUUAUGUCAUCUUACAGAAAUUCAUAUUAACCUAUGUCAUUAACUUGCCAUAUGAUUUUAAAGGUUAUUUUGUAUUGUAGAUGGACAGAAUGCCUUUAUUUCAUUCGUUUAUUUUUAUGUGGUGCUAAGGAUUGAGCCCUAUGCCUCACAUAUAUUAGGCAAGUGCUCUGCCACUGAGCUACAGUUCCAGCCCACCAUAUGAUUUUUAAUUGAAUUUCUACUGAUUUCAAGAGAAGAAAUUGAAAAGAGUUUUCCAAAAUACUUAUAGUACUCCUCUCUCUAAGUGUGCCUUAGGAUUAGGAGAGAGGGGUAGGAAAAUAGAGGUGUACAUAGAGAGUCACAGAGAGUGUAUUACACACACACACACACACUUUUUUUUUUUUUGUAUCAGGGAUUGAACCUAGGGGUGCUUAACCACUGAGCCACAUUCCAGCUACCCCCGGUCCCACAUUUUCUUUCUUUCUUUCUUUCUUUUCUUUUUAUUUUUUUUGAGACAGGGACUCACUAGGUUGCUUACGAUCUUGCUAAAUUGCUGAGGCUGACUUCUAAUCUGCAAUCCUCCUGCUUCAGUCUCCCAAGCUGCUGGGAUUAUAGGUGGGCACCACCACAUAUAUUUUUAAUUCCCCAAAGUGAUCAUCAUAUAUUCACAGCCCUACUCUAAACACCUUAAUACCCACUAGCUCUAUGGUUCUCAAUUAUGGCUUCAUAUUAGAAUUCUCUAAGGAGCUAUUAAAAUACUAAUACAUGAGCCUAAUUUCUCAAACAUUCAGAUUUAAUUGGUUGGGGAUUGGGUCUGGGCAUCAAUAAUAUUUUUUCAAACUCCCAAACUAUUCUAAUGUGCACCUGGGAUUAAGAACCACUGGACUGGGCUUUAAUGUCCAUGGGACAGACCUCCGGUCUUAUUCCUC
rnacentral:lncRNA from 1 species